rnacentral:rRNA from 1 species
GACGAACGCUGGCGGCGUGCUUAACACAUGCAAGUCGAACGGAAAGGCCCUGCUUUUGUGGGGUGCUCGAGUGGCGAACGGGUGAGUAACACGUGAGUAACCUGCCCUUGACUUUGGGAUAACUUCAGGAAACUGGGGCUAAUACCGGAUAGGAGCUCCUGCUGCAUGGUGGGGGUUGGAAAGUUUCGGCGGUUGGGGAUGGACUCGCGGCUUAUCAGCUUGUUGGUGGGGUAGUGGCUUACCAAGGCUUUGACGGGUAGCCGGCCUGAGAUGGUGACCGGCCACAUUGGGACUGAGAUACGGCCCAGACUCCUACGGGAGGCAGCAGUGGGGAAUGGUGCACAAUGGGCGGAAGCAUGAUGCAGCAACGCAGCGUGCGGGAUGACGGCCUUCGGGUUGUAAACCGAUUUCGCCUGUGACGAAGCGUGAGUGACGGUAAUGGGUAAAGAAGCACCGGCUAACUACGUG